UUGACUCUGUUGAGUUAAAUUUUCAGUCAAUUACUAUAUUUGUAAAUACACAACUAUGUUCUACUUUAGUAACAAUGACUAACCAAAUCCUAACCUACAUGAGGAGUCAAAACCCAACGAUCUUAUAUUGUUUCUCGCGAACUCUGAACUCUUUCUCUCCGAAGUCGUCUGUCUCUGUUACUUACUGUAAAAAAAAAUUCUUUCGUUUUGUUGAAACCCAUCAUAUAGACAUAUCAAGCUUUGAUUUAAUUUCAUCAAACGAUGAAGAACACUAUUGCGGAGGAGAUUUAGAAUCUAGGGUUUGAUUUUGGAUAUUUUUAUUGAAGAAGAAACCAAACAGAGGCUAUGUCAUUGUUUUUCCAAAGAUGAUUAGGAUUUAGUUACGGUACAAUUUGUGUUCAGUUAGGAUUUGAUUCUUCUUUGGGUUUCAGUUUUGGUUCGUAAUAAAUUGGUUCUAUUCAAUUAGGGGUUUCAGUAGGGAUUUUAUUAGCGUUUCAAUGGGUGAUUUUGAGAAGACUGGUGGGAAACUUAUUUUUGUGACGAAGGAAAGUAAGUGGGAUCUCUAGAUCAGAAAGUUUUAACACUGUAUUAACGAUUUCUAAUCAUCUUUCAAUUGUAUGUUUCUCCUCCCUUUACAUCUCUGCCACACCAAGCACCCAUUGUUCUCUCUCACAAGGAUCGAUGAUUCCUCAAGGAUAAGUUUGUGAAUAUGAAAAAAAAUGGUUAGUAGAUAUUUUUUUUAUAUUAUUUUCUGAAAAAAAGGGUCAUAUGGAAGAUGAAUCAGUGAUCGGCCGUUCUGAAUCUAAGUAAUUGACCGUGUUUAUGGUUCCGAUCGAGUGUUUGGCUUUGGAUCCAAGGAACGACCCGAGAUGGGUUUGUUCCUCACUGUUCACGAUGUUCAAGUUCAUGCUUAAACCAUUGAUUCUGUAUAAUUUGAUUGCUAUUUCAGGUUUUUAGAUUCCAGUUUUUUAAUGGUUUUUUUAGUUAUUUUGUUUGAUUAUUUUACAGGAGGAAGAAGAGAUGAGAUUCCAGUAGUGACGUAUGUAUUCGAAUAUGGGUUAAUGGGUCAGAUCGACUGAAGACCGGACCCGAAAAUCUUAUCUUCUUCACCCGAUUCCCUGCUACUGCAAUUUGAACUGGAAAUUUCGUGACAGACAAAAUGCAUUAUAAGUGACAGUCGGCGAAUUACCUGCAGAUGUCUGAUUCUGAUUUGAAUCUUUGGGAGUUUGAGACAUAGCCAUAUGUUCCUUCCUCCGACGCAGAUCAUGCAACACUUUCUGUGUGAAUUCUGUUUGCCUCGACAUGGUCGAUACUUUGAGAUCUUGUCCAGGUAGCAUAUAACUCUGAGUACUACUCUCUCGAGAUUGUAUUAACUGAGAAUGCCUUGAAGCUAAUUUUCUUCUCUAAAAAAUAUUGGUUGUAGUCAUCUCAUGUAAAAGGCAAUGCAAUGUUGAAAAAUCUAUGUUUGGAUAUCGUUUUUAGAGGCAUCCGAGGAACAAGAAACUCUAUGUUUUAGAGUAGUAUUUUGCUGGUAGAACAGUUGAAAUGCCCCUAUCAGGAGAGAGGUGGGUAGUCUCCUCUCCGUGUACAGUGAGAUACUCAGUGAGUGGGAAUGUUUUCUUUUUUGAAA